rnacentral:rRNA from 1 species
GUGAUUGGAAUGAGUACACUUUAAAUCCUUUAACGAGGACCCAUUGGAGGGCAAGUCUGGUGCCAGCAGCCGCGGUAACUCCAGCUCCAAAAGCGUAUAUUAAAGUUGUUGCGGUUAAAAAGCUCGUAGUUGGAUUCCUGUCUUCGGCCGGGCGGUGCCGCCUGAUAAUCAAAGGGCGAUCGCACUGCCUUGGGAGCGUUGGUGUCAAAGCCGCGCUCUUUUAACGGUCGGACAAUACCACCGGAGUGGUGUCUGUUGUCUGGUUGGUUCGAGGUUUCGGCCUCUGUCUCAAUCAGACGGCGCACCCGUAAUCGUUCGAGGUGCCCUUAACCGGGUGUCUCGAGCGGCCGGUAACGUUUACUUUGAACAAAUUAGAGUGCUCAAAGCAGGUGCAUAAACUUCGCCUGAAUAUCACAGCAUGGAAUGAUGGAAUAGGACCUCGGUCUUAUUUUGUUGGUUUUCUCUAGACCCGAGGUAAUGGUUAAUAGAGACAGAC